AUUGAACGCUGGCGGCAGGCCUAACACAUGCAAGUCGAACGAGUGGCGGACGGGUGAGUAAUGUAUGGGAACGUGCCCAGUGGAGGGGGAUAACUACUGGAAACGGUAGCUAAUACCGCAUACCAUCGGAUGUGCCCAGAUGGGAUUAGCUAGUGGGGGGGGUAACGGCUCACCAAGGCGACGAUCCCUAGCUGGUCUGAGAGGAUGACCAGCCACACUGGAACUGAGACACGGUCCAGACUCCUACGGGAGGCAGCAGUGGGGAAUAUUGCACAAUGGGCGCAAGCCUGAUGCAGCCAUGCCGCGUGUAUGAAGAAGGCCUUCGGGUUGUAAAGUACUUUCAGCGAGGAGGCGUUACCCGCAGAAGAAGCACCGGCUAACUCCGUGCCAGCAGCCGCGGUAAUAC
rnacentral:rRNA from 1 species